rnacentral:tRNA from 6 species
GGCCAGGUAGCUCAGUUGGUAGAGCAGCGGACUGAAAAUCCGCGUGUCGGCGGUUCGAUUCCGUCCCUGGCCACCA